GACGAACGCUGGCGGCGUGCUUAACACAUGCAAGUCGUACGGUAAGGCCCUUUCGGGGGUACACGAGUGGCGAACGGGUGAGUAACACGUGAGUAACCUGCCCACAACUUUGGGAUAACGCUAGGAAACUGGUGCUAAUACUGGAUAUGUGCUCCUGCUGCAUGGUGGGGGUUGGAAAGCUCCGGCGGUUGUGGAUGGACUCGCGGCCUAUCAGCUUGUUGGUGGGGUAGUGGCCUACCAAGGCGGCGACGGGUAGCCGGCCUGAGAGGGUGACCGGCCACAUUGGGACUGAGAUACGGCCCAGACUCCUACGGGAGGCAGCAGUGGGGAAUAUUGCACAAUGGGAGCAAGCCUGAUGCAGCAACGCCGCGUGCGGGAUGACGGCCUUCGGGUUGUAAACCGCUUUCAGCAGGGACGAAGCUUUUUGUGACGGUACCUGCAGAAGAAGCACCGGCUAACUACGUG
rnacentral:rRNA from 1 species